CAGCCGCCGCGGUAAUACGGAGGAUCCGAGCGUUAUCCGGAUUUAUUGGGUUUAAAGGGUGCGUAGGCGGCCUUGUAAGUCAGGGGUGAAAGACGGUAGCUCAACUAUCGCAGUGCCUUUGAUACUGCAGGGCUUGAAUGUACUUGAGGUAGGCGGAAUGUGACAAGUAGCGGUGAAAUGCAUAGAUAUGUCACAGAACACCAAUUGCGAAGGCAGCUUACUAAAGUAUGAUUGACGCUGAGGCACGAAAGCGUGGGGAUCAAACAGGAUUAGAUACCCGUGUAGUCCCUGUCUCUUAUAA
rnacentral:rRNA from 1 species